rnacentral:rRNA from 1 species
UACGGGGGGAGCAAGCGUUGUUCGGAUUUACUGGGCGUAAAGGGCGCGUAGGCGGCGUGACAAGUCACUUGUGAAAUCUCCGGGCUUAACUCGGAGCGGCCAAGUGAUACUGUCGUGCUAGAGUGCGGAAGGGGCUACUGGAAUUCUCGGUGUAGCGGUGAAAUGCGUAGAUAUCGAAGAGGAACACCUGCGGCGAAGGCGGGUAGCUGGGCCGACACUGACGCUGGAGGCGCGAAAGCGUGGGGAGCGAACAGG